UGACACUUGACAUUUUCUUUAAGGGGGUGUUUGGUCGCCUUCAUGUGGACUGUCCCUAAAUCAAUAUUGCAGCAAAUAACCGAAUUGCAAGUGUUUUCUUGUUUGCAAUGCAUCAUACGUACAUUGGACUCUUACAUGCCGCAACUGGACUUGCGAUUUAAAAUAUCACAUGUCGCACUUGCAAGCUAGGUUGCAAUUCAGAAUUGGAUUUUGAUGCCUUCUCCAUCUACAUUAUGUCCCUCUCCUCCUUUAUAUUAGUCCACAUCACCACCUCUGCCUCCUUCCUCUUGGAGUUGCCUGUUCUACCUUAGUUAUAGUUGCAAUUAGCAAAUAUACAUGUGGGCAUGUUCUACCUUAGUUAUAGUUGCAAUUAGCAAAUAUACAUGUGGCCAUGUUCUACCUUAGUUAUAGUUGCAAUUAGCAAAUAUACAUGUGGGCAUGCAAACAAUUGCUCCUGCAACUGCUACUUGCUUUUGCCAAAAACUACUGCUAUUCGUCUGUAUUUCCAUUUGCAUGCAACCGAAUGCUCCUAAAUGAGAUUUUGAAACUAUGAAUAUCUUUGACUUGGUAUUGAUAAUUGAUAUAGUGUUUCGGGUACAG
rnacentral:lncRNA from 1 species